GACGAACCGUGCAAACGUUGUUCGGAUUCACUGGGCUUAAAGGGUGCGUAGGCGGGUGGUCAAGUCAGGGGUGAAAUCUUUCAGCUCAACUGGAAAACAGCUUCUGAUACUGGCCAUCUUGAGGGAGGUAGGGGCAUGUGGAACUUCCGGUGGAGCGGUGAAAUGCGUAGAUAUCGGAAGGAACGCCGGUGGCGAAAGCGACGUGCUGGACCUCUUCUGACGCUGAGGCACGAAAGCCAGGGGAGCAAACGGG
rnacentral:rRNA from 1 species